rnacentral:rRNA from 1 species
UACGUAGGGAGCAAGCGUUGUCCGGAAUCAUUGGGCGUAAAGCGCGCGUAGGCGGCCCUGUAAGUCCGUUGUGAAAGUCAAAGGCUCAACCUUUGAAAGCCGAUGGAUACUGCAGGGCUAGAGUCCGGAAGAGGCGAGUGGAAUUCCUGGUGUAGCGGUGGAAUGCGCAGAUAUCAGGAGGAACACCAAUAGCGAAGGCAGCUCGCUGGGACGGUACUGACGCUGAGGCGCGAAAGCUAGGGUAGCAAACGGG